rnacentral:rRNA from 1 species
CGGCAUGCCUAACACAUGCAAGUCGAACGGCAGCACAGUGUGUAGCAAUACACAUGGGUGGCGAGUGGCGGACGGGUGAGGAAUACAUAGGAAUCUGCCCUGUAGCGGGGGAUAGUCCGGGGAAACUCGGGGUAAUACCGCAUACGACCUUCGGGUGAAAGAGGGGGAUCGAAAGACCUCUCACUAUUGGAUGAGCCUAUGUCGGAUUAGCUAGUUGGUGGGGUAAAGGGCUACCCAGGGGAACAUUCCGUACUGGGUCUGAGAGGACGACCAGCCACACCGGAACUGACACACGGUCCGGACUCCUACGGGAGGCAGCAGUGGGGAAUAUUGGACAAUGGGCGAAAGCCUGAUCCAGCAAUGCCGCGUGUGUGAAGAAGGCCUUCGGGUUGUAAAGCACUUUAGGCCGGGAAGAAAAAGCGCCACCUAACACGUGGCGCCUUGACGGUACCGGCAGAAUAAGCACCGGCUAACUCUGUGCCAGCAGCCGCGGUAAUACAGAGGGCGCAAGCGUUAAUCGGAUUUACUGGGCGUAAAGCGUGCGUAUGCGGUUCAGUAUGUCGGUCGUGAAAUCCCCGGGCUUAACCUGUGAACUGCGGCCGAACUGCUGGGCUCGAGUGUGGUAGAGGGCGUGGAAUUCCGGGUGUAGCGUGAAAUGCGUAGAGAUCCGGAGGAACAUCAAUGGCGAAAGGCAGCCGCCUGGGCCACAACUGACGCUGAGGUACGAAAGCGUGGGGGAGCAAACAGGAUUAGAUACCCUGGUAGUCCACGCUGUAAACGAUGAGAACUAGACGUUGGCCAGCUUGGUCUGGUCCGGGUCGUAGUACGCUAGUUCCGCUAGGAACGCCAGCUGGGGAGUACGGCCUCAAGGUUGAAACUCAAAGGAAUUGACGGGGGCCCGCACAAGCGGUGGAGUAUGUGGUUUAAUUCGAUGCAACGCGAAGAACCUUACCUGGUCUUGACAUCCAGAGAACCCUGCGGAAAUGUGGGGGUGCCGCAAGGAGCUCUGAGACAGGUGCUGCAUGGCUGUCGUCAGCUCGUGUCGUGAGAUGUUGGGUUAAGUCCCGCAACGAGCGCAACCCUUGUCCUUAGUUGCCAGCAUUCAGUUGGGCACUCUAAGGAGACCGCCGGUGACAAACCGGAGGAAGGUGGGGAUGACGUCAAGUCCUCAUGGCCCUUAUGACCAGGGCUACACACGUACUACAAUGGCCGGUACAGAGGGUCGCCAACCCGCAAGGGGGAGCUAAUCCCAGAAAGCCGGUCGUAGUCCGGAUCGGAGUCUGCAACUCGACUCCGUGAAGUCGGAAUCGCUAGUAAUCGCGGAUCAGCAAUGCCGCGGUGAAUACGUUCCCGGGCC